GAGACACCCUUCUGGGGCAAGACUUGCUUCAGUGGGACUUUGGUGCUCACUGAGUCUGCCCCCUGAGUGUGUCCCU
rfam:Myotis lucifugus cont2.1024, whole genome shotgun sequence.